UACGGGGGGGGCAAGCGUUGUUCGGAAUUACUGGGCGUAAAGGGCUCGUAGGUGGCCAACUAAGUCAGACGUGAAAUCCCUCGGCUUAACCGGGGAACUGCGUCUGAUACUGGAUGGCUUGAGUUUGGGAGAGAAGAGUGGAAUUCCACGUGUAGCGGUGAAAUGCGUAGAGAUGUGGAGGAACACCAGUGGCGAAGGCGACUCUUUGGCCUGUAACUGACGCUGAGGCGCGAAAGCGUGGGGAGCAAACAGG
rnacentral:rRNA from 1 species